GACGAACGCUGGCGGCGUGCUUAACACAUGCAAGUCGAACGAUGAAGCCGGAGCUUGCUCUGGUGAAUUAGUGGCGAACGGGUGAGUAACACGUGAGUAACCUGCCCUUGACUCUGGGAUAACUGCUAGAAAUGGUAGCUAUACCGGAUACGACCCUCGGAGGCAUCUCCAGGGGGUGGAAAGAAUUUCGGUCAAGGAUGGACUCGCGGCCUAUCAGCUAGUUGGUGAGGUAACGGCUCACCAAGGCGACGACGGGUAGCCGGCCUGAGAGGGUGACCGGCCACGCUGGGACUGAGACACGGCCCAGACUCCUACGGGAGGCAGCAGUGGGGAAUAUUGCACAAUGGGCGCAAGUCUGAUGCAGCAACGCCGCGUGAGGGAUGACGGCCUUCGGGUUGUAAACCUCUUUUAGUAGGGAAGAAGCGAAAGUGACGGUACCUGCAGAAAAAGCACCGGCUAACUACGUGCCAGCCGCCGCCGUAA
rnacentral:rRNA from 1 species